AUUGAACGCUGGCGGCAGGCCUAACACAUGCAAGUCGAGCGGAGCGGCGGACGGGUGAGUAAUUCCUGGGAAUCUGCCUGGUAGUGGGGGAUAACGUCCGGAAACGGGCGCUAAUACCGUAUAGUUGCAGCUGAGCCUAGGUGGGAUUAGCUAGUUGGCGGGGUAAGGGUUUACCAAGGCGACGAUCCGUAACUGGUCUGAGAGGAUGAUCAGGCACACUGGAACUGAGACACGGUCCAGACUCCUACGGGAGGCAGCAGUGGGGAAUCUUGGGCAAUGGGCGAAAGCCUGAUCCAGCCAUGCCGCGUGUGGGAAGAAGGUCUUCGGAUUGUAAAGCACUUUUAGUUGGGAGGCGUUACCAACAGAAUAAGCACCGGCUAACUUCGUGCCAGCAGCCGCGGUAAUAC
rnacentral:rRNA from 1 species